rnacentral:rRNA from 1 species
UUUCCSKWRGGGUACCUGCGGAGGGAUCAUUGCUGGAACGCGCUUCGGCGCACCCAGAAACCCUUUGUGAACUUAUACCUAUCUGUUGCCUCGGCGCAGGCCGGCUUCUUCACCGAAGCCCCCUGGAGACAGGGAGCAGCCCGCCGGCGGCCAACUAAACUCUUGUUUCUAUAGUGAAUCUCUGAGUAAAAAACAUAAAUGAAUCAAAACUUUCAACAACGGAUCUCUUGGUUCUGGCAUCGAUGAAGAACGCAGCGAAAUGCGAUAAGUAAUGUGAAUUGCAGAAUUCAGUGAAUCAUCGAAUCUUUGAACGCACAUUGCGCCCUCUGGUAUUCCGGAGGGCAUGCCUGUUCGAGCGUCAUUUCAACCCUCAAGCCUGGCUUGGUGAUGGGGCACUGCCUGUAAAAGGGCAGGCCCUGAAAUCUAGUGGCGAGCUCGCCAGGACCCCGAGCGUAGUAGUUAUAUCUCGCUUUGGAAGGCCCUGGCGGUGCCCUGCCGUUAAACCCCCAACUUUGAAAAUUGACCUCGAUCAGACGUAUCAC